CAGCUCCCAUCCUCUUCCUUCGCACCUCUCCCUCAGAUCGAGCGCCGCCCCGUCGAUCUGUGUGUGUCGCCAUGGAGGGCUCGCCCCUCUCUCGCGCCUCCUCCGCACGGAGCGCUGGCAACCAACACGGCGUAGAUCCACCAUCCCUUCGUCUGCCCCACGGGCCUACCGCCGGUGGCUGCCGCACUGUUCCGUUCUUCCCCCGCCUGCCGCACCAACGGCCCACGCUGCCAUGCAGUUUUGCUGCAGCCACCGCCGCCCCUACCCUCGCGCUCCGGGCAGAGUCUAGUUCUUCUUCGUGGUGACUAGGCGUUCCUCCCGGUGUUGGCACUCUGCCUGCUGUGUUGCGUUUCUCCCAGCGGCUGCGCCCUUCGACCCCUACCUGUAAUCAAUUGAUCCGGCAACAGAGAGAUGAAGCUGCAAAGAGGUGUGAUGAGGGAAAAGCCGUUUGAAGAUGGUUUGCACUGUUUCUGCAAAAGAAUUUAGUCUGAACGUUGUAAAUAACAGUUGGUCACGAGUCUUAUGGGUUUCGACAUUGGACGUUUGAACACAUCAUAUACUGGAGAUUGCUUGUAUUAUAAUAGAAGGUAAACUUACCAAGCGAACAAUACUUGUGUCAGUGUUUUCUAGUGUAUUACAUGUGCAUUGUGGUCACUACUAUCAAUCCAUGGAAAUUUAAAUGUACAGUGAUGGAUUAAAUGAAUGGAACCUAUAUCCUGACUUGCCACUACUAUAUUGUAGCUUCUGAAACACUUGUAUGCACAAAUAGUUUCUCUUGGUUAUCAUAACUGAAACAUUAUAGAGAAAAAUCUCGCUCAGUCUUUUAGUGGGGAAGGAAAGCUUCAAGAUAUUCCAGUUAAAGCGCUGAUAUCUAUUUGAAAAUUAAUUCAUGUGCAUACCUCCUCCAUCCUAACAUUAUCAUGUCUCCAUUUCUCUUAUUCAAGAGAAGCAUGAAACAAAGCAGUCAUAUUCAGAGUAGCACAUACAGUUAUUCUAUGCUAUCAGAAAUAAGGUCAUUAAUAUUCAGAUAUAUGCAUGUAAACUUGGCCAGUCAAUCAUCAAACACACACACACACACACACACACACACACACAUGAAGGUGGUGUUCAUGGUUGAUAGAUAUCCCUAUAAGAUUGUGCUUGCAUAGCAAUACAAUAGUUCCUGCAACAACUAAAUUGUUUCUUGAUCUAUUGUGAGGCGUAUCAAUGCCUUGAUUUUGACAUUUUCUUAGUAUUGCUUAGAUCUAUUUAGUUCAGAUUUUGAAUGUAACAACUACAUUGUUCAUGUGAUCCAUUGCGAGGCAUAUAAAUGCUUCGAUUUUGAUUUUAUUUUUUCAGCUUAGUUCGGCUAGUAUAUAAUAUUAGAUAAAAGUUUGACAGAUGCACAUGGCUAAGUAUUAUCAAUAUGAUGGUUUACGAUCUGCCAGUGGAACUUUAAAUGACACGAUUUACCAAUUUCAAUGAAGUAUGUUAGCAGAUUAAGUGAAAGUUAGAUAUGAAAUGAACUUAAUUCGACCAUUCUCUAGAAGAAAAGUGCUCCCUCCGUCCCAUAAUGUAAGAAUUUUUUUGACACUUGGUGUCCAAAAGCAUCUUACAUUAUGGGACGGAGGGAGUACCUAUUUGUCAUAUGGUGAUGCUAUUACUUUUAGAAUUUUAUGCUUACCAGAAGAUUUACUCGAACAUUAAACAAAUCUUUUUCAACAAGUUGUUUCAGAUCCCACUAAGACAAAAUAAAAGUCUGCUACUGCCAAUUACUAUAGACAAAAUAAAAGUCUGCUACUACUAAUUACUAUAGUCACUACUAGGAAAAGGGCUAUAGAUGAUAUGGACACUA